rnacentral:lncRNA from 1 species
CCAACAGCCAGGGGCCUCCCGAGGGAACGUCCGCCAGUGAUGCGGGAGCGCCCGCGGAGGAGCCUCCUUCUCCCCACCCACCUCCCGAACUCCGGCAGUCAGUGGUGCAUAUAGACAUAUUUCUGGGAGCUGUCCAUGAGCUCAUGGCUCUCCUGGCGAUAGCGGCAGCGGCUAGGGAAGCAGCCUCCUUUCUCCCGGCGCCGCCGCUAGAAUAAGCCCGGCAGCUCGCACUUUCAGAGCACACGCGCCGGGCGCGGCGCUGGGAAGGGGCAGCUGCUUGCCCAGCCCCGCGGCCAAGGUCGCGUCCGACCCCGGCCCGCCGCGGCCCCGAGUCCGCCGGCCGGGAUGUAGGUGGCGCGGGAGGGACUUCGGCUGGGCGAGCAGAGGGCACAGCCGCCCCUUCCACUCUGCGGCGCAGGAGCCGGGGCGGGUCCGCGGGGCGCGGCGGCUGCGGAGACUCCGGGCGGGCGCGGGCCGCAGGCCCGACGCGGAGGAGACCGAGGAGACGCGGGAGACCCGGGCGUGACAGGAGGAAGAAACCCGGAGCCGCAGGAAGAUGGCUUCUCCCACCUCCCCGGCCCCGGAAGGCGGGGCCUCCACCCCGCCGAACCCGCCGCGGAUUCGUCAGAACAGAAGAAACCAGAAAAAAAAUAUUUUGUGAGAAAACAAC